CGUCUGUGACGUGUUCCGUAGUUAUGUUACUUUGUUUCUGUCCGUAUGUGUUUUACGUAGUUUACUUACUUAUUUUAAGCCCAAACAUGGCGUUUUCCCUUACCUUAACUAAGUGGUUUUCUUGCCUGAAACUAACUGCGGACAUUUGCGUGGCGUAAAAGGA